ensembl:lncRNA
CUUUGAUUACACUGGAUUUCUUGGGGGGUAAGGGCCUUUCCAUUUCCAGAGAAGCUGAAGCAUGUCCUUUGUUUCCUUUGUCCCCCUUUGCUCUUUGUUCUCUCCUGUCUUCUCCUAUACAUUGAUGUGGAAAGAAAUUGCUUCAUUGAAAAGAAACUGUCUUUCCUUGACAGAUGUUUCAUUGUACUUACACUGUAUUUCUUGGGCUUCAAGGACCUUUUCAUUUCCAGAGAAGAAGCAUGUCCUUUGUUUCCUUUGUCCCUUCUCUUUGUUUUCUCCAGGCUUUUUCUCCAAUCUUUAGAUGUACAAAGAAAUUCCUUCCUUUUCAAAGAAUGGGUCUUUCCUUAAGUCUUAGUCUAUCAUUUUGAUUACACUGGAUUUCUUGGGGUGCAAUGGCCUUUCCAUUUUCAGAGAAAAAGCAUGUCCUUUGUUUCCUUUCCCCCUCAGCUCUUUGUUCUCUUCUCACUUAUUCUCCUAUGCAUAUAUGUAUAAAGGAAUAGCUAUUUGUGUAGAGGGAAUUUCAUCCCCUCCUCAUGCUGCAUUGCAGACAUCAUUCAUCCCAAUUUUAAAUGGCAGGGAUUCCUCCAUGGACAUUAAUAAAGGGGAGUGGCUUGAGCCUAAAGGGGUCUUUUUCUUCUUUGUUCCCUCACCACUUCCUUGAGCAGGCUGGUGAAGGAUGGAUGGAGAUUCCUACAGGAUGGGCUACACCUUCUCAGACUGAGAGGAGGAAAGUAAAAGUCAGGAAGACUGAUCUGUGUAUCAGGCAAAUAUGUGCAGUGUUUCAUGCCAGUGGACCUCUCACCUCGUCGACAAGGGAGGACAUACAAAGGCAGCUCAUGGCUAUGAGACUGCGAAUGAAGACUAAAGUCUUUUUGGUGGGAGGCAGACACUCUGAGAACAUCGCUGCCAACACCAGCCUUGCUUUCAGAGGCAAAGACAAGACAAAACAGACAAGACAAGACAAGACAACCUGGGCUAGAUACUGCCUCACGACAACAUAGGGAAACCAUCUCUUUACAUUCAGGACACUUAGAUAACCCGCUGGGGGAGAACAUGCAAUCUAUGAACAUCAUAAGUUUCCUUUAUGAAAAAACAUUGCCUCCCACUUCAAAGACGAAACAUUUGGGACUGGCAACAGUCUCUGAGAACAUUCCAGUUAUUAUAGUCUGUUCUGGGGAGCGCUUCUAGACUCAGAGCACUCUGUGGAUGAGAUCCUUGUGGCUGGAGACAAUGCUCUGGAAACAAUGCUUUGCUAGAUUAUCCACGAGAAAAAAAUUUCAAUACUCUGACUUUCAGCCAACAAGACUUCAACACAGGAGACAAGAGUCUCUGAAAACAUUCCAGUUGCAAGCCUCUCUCUGUGGAUACACUGAGUCUCCAAGCGCUUUGAGGACAAGACUGGGACUGGAGACACUCUCUCUGGGAACACUGCGCUUACUUACUACCUGCUUUCUCUCUGGGGAAACACAUCGAGUCUCAGAAGGCAUCGAGGAAAAGACAAGGGUUGAAGUCGCUUUCUGAAAACUUUGUAUUUACAAUAGGCUGGCUGUACAUGCAGCUAGUCUGACAACGCUCGGUGAAUGAGCUACUUACAGUUGGAGAUACACACUCUGACAACAUGCAAAAUCGAGACUCAAGAGAAGCAACCAAAGGUAAAUAUCAAUGGGAAGUCAUGGGGUUCCUUCCACUGAGCCUGGUGCUCUGGGUCCUCCCUCUCUCCCAGUAGCCACUCUUCCUCUCCCCCCCCCCCCGGAAAAAAAUCCCUUCAAAUGAAGGAAGAAAAACUGCAUCUCACCACCACCACCACCACCACCACUACAGCAGCCACCACCUCUUAGGCCACAACCAUGACCUCCAUGGGUAUCACCUUAUAAGGAUUUGCCUUGAAAUCUCAGCUAGGGGAAGAGGAAACCUUUGGACACUCUGCCCACCUCCUCAGCCAUUUCUGUCUUCAGUACAUCCUUGCUCAGGUACUGUAUAUUUGUCCGUGGUCCCUGCUUGUUGCCUGUCCUCUCCUCUCUGUGUCCCUUUUUGGCCUUCAAGUGUCUGCCUACUCUUAGUGCUUUUGGGUAAUUCCAGCCAGGCCCCCAUAUGGCUAUCCCCUGGUAUCCACUACUUUCUUGCCACAUUUUCCCACUUCUUUGUCAUCAUUCCCUCUCAUUUUUGAACCAGGUGCCUAAUCCCUGCUUGCAUCAACAGAGGCCUCCUUCUGACCUUCCUCUUUCCCUUCUUCCAAGUCCCUGAGCAAAUGCCCAAUAUGUGCAUAAAUUCUCAUUCUGUCCAAAUUGAUUCAUAUAGAGCUUUGCACAACUGUCUACUUAGAGAUAGCCAGAACUCUGAGUCUACCUUUUUCUGCAUUUGAUGUGGUCCCCUCACUCACACACACACUCACACACACACACACACACACACACACACACACACACACACACACACACUGACCCAUCUGGACAUACCCUUCCUUUGACCCAGAGAUACCACUCCUAGCAAUUUCUUUUGGACCUUGAAGAGACAUGGAUCAAAGAUAUGUAGUAUAGAAAUCCUGGUAGACCUUGGGCAAUUUCCCAUGAGCCCUUUUGAAAUUCACUAUCAAUUAUGUUCCUGAUUGGAGAAAGGAAAUGGCAUCCCGCAUCUUGGUUUCAUGAUGCUAUAAACAUAACAAAGCAGUUAUAGGUUGAAUGGGGCUUCCUGGGAAGGGAUUCUACUGGCCUCAGGUUUUCUCAAGCAGCUUUCUUUAUGCUCUUGGAUGAUGAAACUAGAUACAUGAUUUUCUGUGAUGACAAGUGACCAUUGUGAGGCUGACUGAUGCUGACUGGAGGAACCACACUGUGCUUGUGCUACCAUGUCCCCAUAGAGUCCCUCUCAGGCCCAAGUGAGUGUGACUAGUUCAGGUGGUUUCCUGAGAGGCUGGCUGGUGGAGCUUUCCAUUGUCUGUAGUACUGAAGUGAUGGUUUUGCAAUAUUACAGAUCAAUUCAGGUGUUGUAUUGGCCAUUUUGGCCAAAAAUCAAUUGGGGACAGGGCCUUCUCACAUUUGAGGGAUAGUAGGCAAUAGAGAAAAAUGGCAGGAAUCUAAUUCAGGUCAACAAGUACCUGUUGAAUUCUCAAGAGGUGAAAUUGCCUAAGUUUUGGAAAUUGCUUUUCUCUUCACAUGGAAGAAACAUACUUUCUCCUCCUCCUUCUAGUCUGAGAAGUUCUGCAGAGAUGAAGGUCCAUUAGUGAGAUGAGAGUUCAAGAGGGUCACAUUGGCAGAAGAAUAGAGGCCAUGGUACACUGGAAAGAACAGUUGCAUAUAGAGUUGGAAUUUCCAGAUUGGAGUCCUAGUUAUACUGAUGUUUCCAAGUAUCUACCUCAAACUUCCUUGCAUAUCUCCUUUGAGAAUACUCCUGGCUUCCCUAUUUUCUUUUUGUCCACUCACUUUGCGCUUCCCUGAUUUGUCAUAUUUGCCCAAAUCUUCUGUUUCCUUCAUAGCUAAGCCUAGACUUUUUUUUGCAAUUCUUUGCUGAAAAUUUUAUUCAGUGAGCUUCAUGAACCUUUUGCCUGGUACAUGGCCUAUACUUGUGGUUGCCUGCCCAUUUCCUUAGUUUGCACUGCUUGGUGGUCCUCUAACAAGGCUGGCUCUUUGGAAUGCAAUUGGAAAAGCAAAUUCAUUGGCUUUACCAGCUUCAUGGGGAAGUUGUGAUUUGAGGCACUGCCUAGGGGGUGAAGCCUAGCCCCUCACUUCUGUAGUCCCUGAAUAUAAUGUGGUAUGAUGAAUCACUUAAGGUCUCUCCCUCUAGGUAAGUCCCAUCACAGUCUAAAUUGCAGGCAGAGAAUAUGGAGUGGAGGCAUUUUGUUUCAAUGGGAAUUUCCUCCACCCCAGCCAUGUGCAGUCCCCAUGGCAACAGCAGUGUGGUCCAGAUGCCUCUUCCCAGCCUUCAAGGGCUCUUGGCUAGAUGGCUGGGGCCCCUAAGAUGCACUGGGUUUCCUUGGUGAUGCUCUUGGUGGUCAGGGAAGCAUAGUGAAGCCUGGGAGGAGCCCCAAUCCCCAAGUCCUUUCUCAUUUGGGGAGCUGCCCAACAACAAGUGCCUCUAGCUUACUCUGGUCUAGGCCUGAUGGUGGGGGGGCAGAGGGACUUGCUGGAAUGCUUCCCUGUCCCUCCCCUGCCCUUCCUGAACUUUGUCUCUUCAUGCCUGGAGCAAGGAGGCUGGGAGACCCUCCUUCUCUAGAUACCCACCCCACCCCCAUUCCUCUUGGGCUCUUGGUCAGGAAUGCAAGUCCCAUUCAUGAGCUUCUGGUUUGCAGUUACAGCUGCUCCUGCCAGACUCUUCCCUUUUGUGGACCCUGAAGGCUCCCUGUCUCUCCCUCCCCCCCUUCUGCUUUUGCAGAAAGGGACCUAAGCCACCAUCCCAAGCUGAGCUCAGCCUCUGUGCCUUGCUAUUGGUCCUCAGGACCCUAGUCUUUGUCAGUCACAUCUCCAGGGAGAAGAUAUUCUGCCUCUCCCCCAUGCCAGGCAGGGUGAUGGGGGCUGAGAGAAUGGCACAGCAUCCAGAGCCCCCUCCUUUUGUCCUGUCUCUUCCAGUUAUAGAGCAGCCCAGCCCAUCUUCUGCAGUGAUGUCAUCAUGCCCACCCUCCUCCAACCCUGUACCUUGGUCUGUUUUCUUUGUUAUCUAUGUCACUGCUCUCUUUGGAUUUAUCCAAAUAUUAUUUUAUUUGUUUGCAAACCUAAUAUUUUCCAUUUCUUAACUGCUCUAUUUUUAAUAAAUAUUAGUUGGGGGGGGGGGAGCUGCA